rnacentral:lncRNA from 1 species
UUGUGAGAAAUGAGCACGAGCACCACACUUGAGGACAGAGGCCACGAAGAGGACCCUCAAUCCUAGAUGGACAGAAGGAAGAGGAGGGAAUAAAAACAAAGAUCUCCCAACGGCAUCACUCCACUGCUGGGGGCAGACCCUGGGAUGAAUUGCUCUGCCACCUGAGAUCGCUGAACAGAGUCCCCAUUAUCCAGGAGAGCAGCCA